rnacentral:rRNA from 1 species
UUACGGGAGGCAGCAGUCGCGAAAACUUUGCAAUAAGCGAAAGCUUGACAGGGCUAUCCCGAGUGCCAUCCGCUGAGGAAGGCUUUUACCCAGUCUAGAACGCUGGGGGAAUAAGGAGAGGGCAAGUCUGGUGUCAGCCGCCGCGGUAAUACCAGCUCUCCGAGUGGUGUGGAUGUUUAUUGGGCCUAAAGCAUCCGUAGCUGGCUAGGCUAGUCCCCUGUUAAAUCCACCGAAUUAAUCGUUGGAUUGCGGGGGAUACUGCUUGGCUAGGGGACGAGAGAGGCAGACGGUAUUUCCGGGGUAGGGGUGAAAUCCUAUAAUCCCGGGAAGACCACCAGUGGCGAAGGCUGUCUGCUAGAACGCGCCCGACGGUGAGGGAUGAAAGCUGGGGGAGCGAACCGGAUUAGAUACCCUGAUAGC